GACAGAGGUGCCAAGCGUUUAGGCGGAAUCACUGGGCUUAAAGCGUGUGUAGGCGGAUCGUUAAGUACCUUGUGAAAUCCCACGGGCUCAACCGUGGAACUGCUGGGUAUACUGGCGAUCUUGAGCCACCUAGGGGCGAGCGGAACAAGCGGUGGAGCGGUGAAAUGCGUAGACAUCGCUUGGAACGCCAAUGGUGAAAACAGCUCGCUGGGGGUGUGCUGACGCUGAGACACGAAAGCCAGGGGAGCGAACGGG
rnacentral:rRNA from 1 species